CACCGCUGCCCGAGCCCGAGUGGUUCACUGCACCGUGAAGACAGAUUCCAGACGCCAGGAACUCACGCCUCCAAUCCCAGACACUAUGUCCAGCAAAGGCUCCGUGGUUCUGGCCUACAGUGGCGGCCUGGACACCUCGUGCAUCCUCGUGUGGCUGAAGGAACAAGGCUACGACGUCAUUGCCUAUCUGGCCAACACUGGCCAGAAGGGAGACUUGGAGGAAGCCAGGAAGAAGGCACUGAAGCUUGGGGCCAAAAAGGUGUUCAUUGAGGAUGUCAGCAGGGAGUUUGUGGAGGAGUUCAUCUGGCCGGCCAUCCAGUCCAGCAAAAUCAAACAAGGCCUGGGCUUGAAAUUUGCUGAGCUGGUGUAUACCGGUUUCUGGCACAGCCCUGAGUGUGAAUUUGUCCGCCACUGCAUAGCCAAGUCCCAGGAGCGAGUGGAAGGGAAAGUGCAGGUGUCCGUCCUCAAGGGCCAGGUGUACAUCCUCAGCCGGGAGUCCGCACUGCCUCUCUACAACGAGGAGCUGGUGAGCAUGAACGUGCAGGGUGAUUAUGAGCCGAUUGAUGCCACCGGGUUCAUCAACAUCAAUUCCCUCAGGCUGAAGGAAUAUCAUCGUCUCCAGAGCAAGGUCACUGCCAAAUAGACCCCUGUACAACGUGGAGCUGGGGCCUCCUCAAUUUGCAGAUCCCCCAAGUACAGGCACAAAUUGUUGUGAUAAUUUGUAAUUGUGACUUGUUCUCCCUGACUGGCAGCGUAGUGGGGCUGCCAGGCCCCAGCUUUGUUCCCUGGUCCCCCUGAAGCCUGCAGACAUUGUGUUGUCACCAAAGGGAAGGGUGGGGGGCACCUGCGGUGGGGAGCUAUAAAAUGACAAUUAAAAGA